rnacentral:rRNA from 1 species
UCACGUAAAUUUUUAAUAGUCGAACAGACUAUUCAUUUAAGAUUCUACCCCUAAACUACAAUUUAAUUCAACAUCGAGGUCACAAACUUAAUUAUUAAUAAGAACUUGCUAAUUAAAUAAUGCUGUUAUCCCUAGAGUAACUUCUAAAUAUUAAAUAAAUAAAUUAAAAAUUUUACUCUUCAACAAUUACCCCAAUUAAAAAUUUAUAAAAUUUUAAGCUUCUAGGGUCUUCUCGUCCCAAGAAUUUAUAAUAGCAUUUUUACUAUUAAUUUAAAUUCAAAAUUAUUUAAUAAAACCUUCCUUUCAGUAUCAACCUUUCAUUCCAGUCCUCAAUUAAAAAA